rnacentral:lncRNA from 1 species
CCACUGUUAUCAGCUUUCGUUGUUGCUGGUAUGCCUCUGAUGUUUGGUAUCGUGAGGAUCCCACAUUUAUCCAAAUGAUCCAAAAUUUGGAUAUAUUGCAGUAGACAUUCUAAUGAAAAAUUUCAUGAAGAAAGACAAUUCAUUAGAGCAUUGGAAUUAGGCCCGAAAUGCUGCUAUUAGCUUUUUGCUGGCCCUGCAUCUAAUGCUUUCAGCUCUUAGGAUUCAACAUUUGUCCGAAUAAAUCCAAAUUUAGAUAUGUUUCAGUAGAUAUAGAGAUGAACAACUUUCAUGAAGAACAAAACUUGAUUUGAGCACUGGAAGUUGAAUUUUGGGCUCACUCCAUCUGUCUGCAGCAAUGCAUGUCUAGCCAUAUUUUGGCCAUUUUGAUGUUCAUGGAACAUUAUCUUCCAUUUUAGGCCAAACACAAUUUUUGGUACAAACAGAUAGUGACACCGGAG